rnacentral:piRNA from 1 species
UCCUGUGAUCAGGUGAGCAGCAGUGCCUUU